GUUGGGUCACUGCAUGGUAUAUAUGGUAUAUGAAACGAGUCUGUCCAAACUUCGUACAUAUGCAUGCAUGUGGGUUGGGAAUGAUGUCACUGUUCAAUGCAGGUAUUGUUCUGAUUCAUGUUUGGAUAAGAGAGUCAGCUACAGCCCAGCAAAUGUGGAUCUGUGUGUUGGUCUGAUUCAGUGCAAGAUGAAGCAGCCAAGAGAGUUCGGUCUCAACCAUGCAUGAAGGUUUCUCCAAAAUCUGGAUGGACAAUGAAGGAAUUGCACACAUUCCUGAUGGCGUGAUCCUUUUUCCGGUGUACUGGAUACUGACAUGGUAACGAUGCUAGCUCGAGUGAUUGCCAACUUCCUACAGCUGCCUAGAGUCAAGAGUGUCGGUUUUUCUACCGUGGCCAUGCAGUUGGGAGCUUUUGUUGGAUUGUGGAAACACUACUCUGUAGCAACCAGCAGUUUCAAAGUGAGUGAUGUGGUGCUCAUGCGGCUGGGAACUAUCAAGUAUAAAACUGCCGAAUGAACUGUAGCGGUGUUAUAUAACUUGUGUGUGUUAGUAGCUAUAGUAACUGUAUAAGCUGAUAAUUAAUUUUAUAAUAAUGUUUCGUAAAUUAUAACUUCCAUUAGGAUUUGAGUGCAUGUACUAAUUACGAUUUUUGGUGUACGUAGUUUUAAGUAUUAGUUAAUGUACAGUGUAGAGGGGUUUAUGACAGUAAACCUCCCGACUACGAGGGCGUAAGCCCGAGGGAGAGGUGUGGUUUACUGUCAUAAACCCCGAGGCACUGUGCAUUAACUGAUAUAUGUCUCAUCUGAUUGGCUGACUGGUUGCUAUCCAUCCAGCUAUAUAAGCUUGCGCAUGGCUACCACAUAGCAACACUAUUCAAACAAGAAGACAACUAGGAAAAAGAGAGCUCGUCCACACCACGUACCAUGCAGGGCUCCAGUCCACACCUUGCGACAGAAUAAUAUUAUGAGCAGCCAGCCCCUCCCUCCAAAGCGACCGGUACAGAGCCACUCCCCCUCUCUGUGCAAUUAGCCAGCCCCUCCCUCCACCUAGUACUGCAGCACUGAACCAGCCAGAAAAAAUAACACAGCUAGCUCUCUUUGGCUAUGCCAGGCUAGUAAGCAAGCAAAGAAGCUGAACAGACCUAGUUCAGUGCGUGCAGUACUAGUGCUAGUGAGCAAGUCUGCCUGAGCCAGCUAGUCUCCCAGAGUGUCUCUAAAUCAGCUCCUUCUGCAAGCACACAGCAGAAUUUUUGAUGAACUAGUCUUACAGACUACACCCGACUCUAUGUGUUUCAUUUAUGACAUUUUGUUUCUCUUGCAAGACAUUUCAUUCAUCUUCAUUUAUCGAAAACACCAUUAUUUUAAUUUUAGUUGCAUAUGCUUGAGGUGCCAAUUUAUGAGCCAUAUUUUCCCUUAUAUAGCCCUGAGGUGCCAAUUUAUGACAGUUAAACCCCACUAGACUACAUGGCAAA